rnacentral:rRNA from 1 species
UCCCCCUACGGGAAGCAGCAGUGGGGAAUAUUGCACAAUGGGGGGAACCCUGAUGCAGCGACGCCGCGUGGGUGAAGGAGUAUUUCGGUAUGUAAAGCCCUAUCAGCAGGGAAGAACAAUGACGGUACCUGACUAAGAAGCACCGGCUAAAUACGUGCCAGCAGCCGCGGUAAUACGUAUGGUGCAAGCGUUAUCCGGAUUUACUGGGUGUAAAGGGAGCGCAGGCGGCGCGUUAAGCCUGGUGUGAAAUACCGGGGCCCAACCCCGGGGCUGCAUUGGGAACUGCCAGGCUGGAGUGCCGGAGG